GAGAGAGAGAGAGAGAGAGGGCGAUCGGCCGCAGGGCGUUUGGUCUGUGUGCACAGGGUCAUUCUCAGCUUCUCUCCACCGUCCAAUCAGAAGGAACCUAUUGUAGGAGGGAGGCGCACGUUAGAUCAUAUCUCAAGGUGCCGCCGCUUUAUUUGUCAUCCCUGCUGGUGUGAGAGGAUGAUGCCGUCGUUGUCAUGGUGAUAACAGUGAUGCAGAGGGGACCACAUUCACACGUCUGGGGGGAAUGAUGCUUCGUUUAGAUGAUGAGAAGGUUUAAGGAGGGGUCGUGCUGAUGGUCCGUCAGUCAGAUGGUUCUCAGGAGAGUCUUUUGUUUUGAACGGGGGGAAUCUAAGCGGCGGUGAAGAGAUUCCCAGCUCGAUCAAUCCCCUCUAACUACACUAUUGAUUAGCUGCAGUAACAUUUUUCAUUUAUUAAUUAUGAGGAAUAUGUACUUGAAAGUGUCUCUCUCUCCCCUGAUAGGGUCAUCAGCUAUGAGCUGAGAUCAUUUUCUGCAUCUAUGAAUGUUACAGAUAUAUUGUCAUCAUUAAGGACACACACUGACACCUCUUUGUCUCUGAAAUAUGACUACAUAUCUCAUAUAUAUCUUUCUCACUGUUUUAUUCUGAGGAGAGAGAGAGAGAUUUGUAUUUAGGUGUUGAAUAGAGUCUCUGGUUUUAAAGGUUUGUACAGUUCAAAUGUAUUCAGACACUCCACAUGUAAAAAUGUCAAGAUAAUGAAAAUCACAUGAUGUACGAAAAAACAUCAUCAAAUCAUCAGAAGUGUUUGCAGAUAAAACGUUUGAUAUUAUUGAUUUGUAUUGUAAUAUUGUUAUCUAAUGCUGUGAUGUUUAUACAUUUGUAAGGGUGUAAUCUCUUGAGACUGUGGUUAUUUGACAGUUCUUGAGCUUUUGAUGUCUUGUGGUUGAAGUAUGUUGAACACAGAGUGUGGACAUAAAACCAAAGCAAGGUCUGUUCAGCACACACUUCUGAUCUGUUUUCACAGACAAACGCUCGUGUACAGUGUCUCUUCAGUUUAAAGAGGUUCCAGUGAUUCUUGAUGUUUCUUCAUCGGAUUUCAUUUCUUCGGAUUCUUCAAAGCAUCAGAAUGUUGAUGAAGAAAAUAAGAAGUUCUUUACAGACUGUCAGGCUGAUAAUGAAUGUGAUUUUGGUUGUGAUGACUGAUGGUGUUCAGUCAGACCGGCUCUGUUCCAGUUGUGAC